rnacentral:rRNA from 1 species
UACGUAGGGUCCGAGCGUUGUCCGGAAUUACUGGGCGUAAAGAGCUCGUAGGUGGUUUGUCGCGUUGUUCGUGAAAACUCACAGCUCAACUGUGGGCGUGCGGGCGAUACGGGCAGACUGGAGUACUGCAGGGGAGACUGGAAUUCCUGGUGUAGCGGUGGAAUGCGCAGAUAUCAGGAGGAACACCGAUGGCGAAGGCAGGUCUCUGGGCCAUAACUGACGCUGAGAAGCGAAAGCAUGGGGAGCGAACAGG